rnacentral:rRNA from 1 species
GGUUAGUCGGGACCUAAGCCGAGGCCGAAAGGCGUAGGUGAUGGACAACAGGUUGAAAUUCCUGUACCGCCAAUAAGCGUUUGAGAAAUGGGAUGACACAGUAGGACAGGAUGAGCGUGCUGUUGGUUAUGCACGUCCAAGCACUGAGGCAGUAUCCGGAGGCAAAUCCACGGAUAUAAUGCUGGGGUGUGACGGGGAGCGAAAUUUAGUAGCGAAGCAUCUGCAUUCACACUGUCGAGAAAAGUCUCUAUCGAGUUUAAAGGCGCCCGUACCGCAAACCGACACAGGUGGGUGAGGAGAGUAUCCUAAGGCCAGCGAGAGAACUGUUGUUAAGGAACUCGGCAAAAUGACCCCGUAACUUAGGGAUAAGGGGUGCCAUCGAAAGAUGGCCGCAGAGAAUAGGCCCAAGCGACUGUUUACCAAAAACAUAGGUUUCUGCUAAGUCGCAAGACGAUGUAUAGGAGCUGACGCCUGCCCGGUGCUGGAAGGUUAAGGGGAUCUGUUAGAGCAAUCGAAGCAGUGAACUUAAGCCCCAGUAAACGGCGGCCGUAACUAUAACGGUCCUAAGGUAGCGAAAUUCCUUGUCGGGUAAGUUCCGACCCGCACGAAAGGCGUAACGAUUUGGGCACUGUCUCAACAACAGACUCGGUGAAAUUGUAAUUCCGGUGAAGAUGCCGGAUACCUGCGACAGGACGGAAAGACCCCAUGGAGCUUUACUGUAGCUUGGCAUUGGGUCUUGGUACUACAUGUACAGCAUAGGUGGGAGGCUUUGAUUCCAGGACGCCAGUUUUGGAUGAGCCACCGUUGGGAUACCACCCCUGUAGUACUGGGACUCUAACCAGAGGCCUUGAAUCAGGUCUUGGGACACUGUCAGGCGGGCAGUUUGACUGGGGCGGUCGCCUCCCAAAAGGUAACGGAGGCGCUCAAAGGUUCUCUCAGCACGGUCGGAAAUCGUGCACAGAGUGUAAAGGCAUAAGAGAGCUUGAUUGCAAGACAUACAGGUCGAGCAAGGACGAAGUCGGACUUAGUGAUCCGGUGGUUCUGAGUGGAAGGGCCAUCGCUCAACGGAUAAAAGCUACCCUGGGGAUAACAGGCUUAUCUCCCCCAAGAGUCCACAUCGACGGGGAGGUUUGGCACCUCGAUGUCGGCUCAUCACAUCCUGGGGCUGUAGUAGGUCCCAAGGGUUGGGCUGUUCGCCCAUUAAAGUGGUACGCGAGCUGGGUUCAGAACGUCGUGAGACAGUUCGGUCCCUAUCCGUCGCAGGCGUAGGAAAUUUGAGAGGAUCUGCCCUUAGUACGAGAGGACCGGGGUGGACGUACCGCUGGUGUACCAGUUGUCUCGCCAGAGGCAUGGCUGGGUAGCUAUGUACGGAACGGAUAAGCGCUGAAAGCAUCUAAGCGCGAAGCCAGCCUU